AUGAGCGAAAGUCCUGGAGGUUCACAACAUCCUCGGAUCUCUCUUUACGCUGAUGAUGCUGCCAUCUUCAUUGCCCCUUCGGUGCAGGAUAUAUCCUGCCUGGCAAAUAUUCUUCAAGGCUUCGGGGAGGUUACGGGCAUGGUGACCAAUGUGGCUAAGAGCUCUAUUGCCCCAAUUCGCUGCUCCGAUGUUGACCUCACCGCAGUUCUGGCAAACUUCUCGGCGGCUAUCACCCAGUUCCCUCUCAAGUAUUUGGGGUUGCCCUUGUCGCUUGGUAGACUUAGAAGGACCGACCUUCAGCCAUACAUUGAUAAAGCUGCGUCAAGGUUGAACCCUCUGAAAGGAAGAUUCCUAAAUCGGGCGGGG
rnacentral:rRNA from 1 species